CCAGACUCCUACGGGAGGCAGCAGUGGGGAAUAUUGGGCAAUGGGCGCAAGCCUGACCCAGCAACGCCGCGUGAAGGAAGAAGGCUUUCGGGUUGUAAACUUCUUUUAAGAGGGAAGAGAAGAAGACGGUACCUCUUGAAUAAGCCACGGCUAACUACGUGCCAGCAGCCGCGGUAAUACGUAGGUGGCAAGCGUUAUCCGGAUUUAUUGGGUGUAAAGGGCGUGUAGGCGGGAAUGCAAGUCAGAUGUGAAAACUAUGGGCUCAACCCAUAGCCUGCAUUUGAAACUGUAUUUCUUGAGUGCUGGAGAGGCAAUCGGAAUUCCGUGUGUAGCGGUGAAAUGCGUAGAUAUUAGGAGGAACACCAGUGGCGAAGGCGGCCUGCUGGACGACAACUGACGGUGAGGCGCGAAAGCGUGGGGAGCAAACAGGAUUAGAUACCCGAGUA
rnacentral:rRNA from 1 species